GCAUGUCUAGUAUAGCAUAUACCGUGAAACUGCAAUCAGUUAUCGUUUAUUUGAUAGUACCUUACUACUUGGAUAACCGUGGUAAUUCUAGAGCUAAUACAUGCUGAAAACCCUGACUUCGGAGAGGGUGUAUUUAUUAGAUAAAAAACCAAUGCCCUUCGGGCUCUUUGGUGAUUCAUGAUAACUUAACGGAUCGCAUGGCCUUGCGCCGGGGACGGUUCAUUCAAAUUUCUGCCCUAUCAACUUUCGAUGGUAAGGUAUUGGCUUACCAUGGUUUCAACGGGUAACGGGGAAUUAGGGUUCGAUUCUGGAGAGGGAGCGUGAGAAACGGCUACCACAUCCAAGGAAGGCAGCAGGCGCGCAAAUUACCCAAUCCCGACACGGGGAGGUAGUGACAAUAAAUACUGAUACAGGGCUCUUUUGGGUCUUGUAAUCGGAAUGAGUACAAUUUAAACCUCUUAACGAGGAACAAAUGGAGAGCAAGUCUGGUGCCAGCAGCCGCGGUAAUUCCAGCUCCAAUAGCGUAUAUUAAAGUUGUUGCAGUUAAAAAGCUCGUAGUUGAAUCUUGGGCCUGGCUGGCCGGUCCGCCUCACCGCGUGUACUGGUCUGGCCGGGCCUUUCCUUCUGGAGAACCUCAUGCCCUUCAGUGGGUGUGUUGGGGAACCAGGACUUUUACUUUGAAAAAAUUAGAGUGUUCAAAGCAGGCCUUUGCUCGAAUACGUUAGCAUGGAAUAAUAGAAUAGGACGUGCGGUCCUAUUUUGUUGGUUUCUAGGACCGCCGUAAUGAUUAAUAGGGAUAGUCGGGGGCAUCAGUAUUCAAUUGUCAGAGGUGAAAUUCUUGGAUUUAUUGAAGACUAACUACUGCGAAAGCAUUUGCCAAGGAUGUUUUCAUUAAUCAGUGAACGAAAGUUAGGGGAUCGAAGACGAUCAGAUACCGUCGUAGUCUUAACCGUAAACUAUGCCGACUAGGGAUCGGGGCGAUGUUUCUAUCUUGACUCGCUCGGCAC
rnacentral:rRNA from 1 species